AGUGAACGCUGGCGGUAGGCCUAACACAUGCAAGUCGAACGGCAGCACAGUAAGAGCUUGCUCUUACGGGUGGCGAGUGGCGGACGGGUGAGGAAUACAUCGGAAUCUACUUUUUCGUGGGGGAUAGCGUAGGGAAACUUACGCUAAUACCGCAUACGACCUACGGGUGAAAGCAGGGGAUCUUCGGACCUUGCGCGAUUGAAUGAGCCGAUGUCGGAUUAGCUAGUUGGCGGGGUAAAGGCCCACCAAGGCGACGAUCCGUAGCUGGUCUGAGAGGAUGAUCAGCCAACUGGAAACUGGAAAACGGCCCAGCCCCCAAGGGGGGGCAGGGGGGGGGAAUUUUGGAAAAGGGGGGAAACCUUAACCCGGCCAAACCGGGGGGGUGAAGAAGGCCUUGGGGUUUUAAAGCCCUUUUGUUGGGAAAAAAAAGCGGCGGGUUAAACCCCCGCUGUUUUGGCGGUCCCAAAAAAAAAAGCCCCGGCUAACUUGGG
rnacentral:rRNA from 1 species